UAAUACGUAGGGGGCAAGCGUUGUCCGGAUUUACUGGGCGUAAAGAGCGUGUAGGCGGCCAUGCAGGUCCGUUGUGAAAACUGGAGGCUCAACCUCCAGACGUCGACGGAAACCGCGUGGCUAGAGUCCGGAAGAGGAGAGUGGAAUUCCUGGUGUAGCGGUGAAAUGCGCAGAUAUCAGGAAGAACACCAAUGGCGAAGGCAGCUCUCUGGGACGGUACUGACGCUGAGACGCGAAAGCGUGGGGAGCGAACAGGAUUAGAUACCCUGGUAGUCCACGCCGUAAACGAUGAAUGCCAGCCGUUGGGGAGCUUGCUCCUCGGUGGCGCAGCUAACGCAUUAAGCAUUCCGCCUGGGGAGUACGAUCGCAAGAUUA
rnacentral:rRNA from 1 species